rnacentral:lncRNA from 1 species
GCCAAAUACAGAAGUACGGAGGGCCCUAUGCCAACCCCGGAUACCACACCAGUACGAGACAGUCGGAGUUUGGCCAUUCCAGCACAGAAUGCAGAGUCAUACAACAGAUACAAACUAAGCUUUAUUAAGACAGGUUACAGAAAAUAGACGACUAGAAAGACUAGAGAAAGUCGUUGUCGCAAAUCGCUUGACGAGCGAUGUUAGUAUUACCUCUAUCUUUUGUUUUGCCUACAAUAGGACGCCGUCUCUUAUAUAUGAGAGGACAACAACAACGGCGGCGCGCGGAUCGACAUUGCGGGACGACGGCAUCCAUGCAAGUAAGUGAAGCGCGCGGGCACCGCGCGGGUGGUUGGGUUGGUUCGGCCUUGAGUAGAGGCACCUGAAUAGUGGGUCCCGUUGCUUGUCGGUGGGCGGGGUGAAGUCUAGUUGGGUUCGCGAGGUCCGUAGGUUAGUAGGAAAGGUGGUUUUUAUUUCGGCCUCCCGCAGUUGGCGAGGCUUUAGCUGGGAGUCCGUUUUGCCGGGAGAAGCUCUUGGUUGGCAAGAGGUUGCGAGUGGCUUGGUUGGCGUCCUUUGUCUUGAGUUCGCCGGAUUUACUCUGGUAUCCUCGCGAGUCGCCAGACAGCCCGGUGCAGGAUACUGACCAACAGAACAGCUACCCUACGUGCGAAUGCGUAAAGAACAACGAGCAAAACAGGCAGACAGGAUGGCUUCAAGAAAUCUGCAAGCAAACGAAGGUUGAAGUCAAGACGCGUGGACGGACCCGGAGCCUUCGGACGUGUGGACGGGCUACAGCUAUAUCAUAAAGCCGCCGCGGCGGUCCGCUAAGUGCGGCACAGAAUGCAUGACAAGCGGCUGCGGAAGGCAGCGCGCUUAGGAAGCCCGCCGAGGCGGCACGCCGAACUGAAGGCGUUGUGAUGUAGGAGCACUUAGACAGCGACCGCGGAAGGCGGGGCGCUUGUAGAAAAGCCGCUGCGGCGGUCCGCUAAGUGCGGCACAAAAUGCGUGACAAGCGGCUGCGGAAGGCAGUGCGCUUAGGAAGCCCGCCGUGGCGGCACGCCGAACUGAAGGCGUUGAUUUAGGAGCAUAUAGACGGUGACAGCGGAAGGAAACGCCGCUGCGGCGGUCCGAUAGUGCGGCACCAAUUGCAUGAUAAGAGGCUGCAGAAGGCAGCGCACUUAGGAAGCCCGCCGAGGCGGCACACCGAACUGAAGGCUUUGUGAUUUAAGAGUGUGUAGACGGCGACCACGGAAGGCGGCCCGCUUGUAAAAAAAAAAGCUGCUGUGGCGGUCCUCGGAGUGCGGCACAAAAAUGCAUGACAAGCGGCUGUGGAAAGCAGCACGAUUAGGAAGCCCGCCGCGGCGGCACACCGAACUGAAGGCGUUGUGACCUAGGAGGAUAUAGACAGCGACCACGGAAGGCGGUGCACUUGUAGAAAACUGCUGUGGUGGUCUGCAAAGUGCGGCACAAAAUACAUGACAAGCGGCUGUGGAAGGCAACGCGAUUAGGAAGCCUGCCGCAGCGGCAUGCCGAACCGAAAGUGUUUGAUAUGGGAACUUGUAGACAGCGACCACAGAAGGCAUUGCGCUUGUAGCAAACCGCUGCGGUGGUCCACUGAGUUCGGUUCACAAGAGGCUGCAGGAGGUAGCAUUCUUGAGUAACCCGCAGUGAUGGCUUGCCGGAUUAUAGGCGUGGCGAUGUAGGAGUAUGUCAACAACGAUCGCAGAAGGCGGCGCACUUGUAUGAGCGAGUGGUUAGUCGUCCUUACCUGCAGGGCUGACGACCGACGGUGGAUUGCUUCGCGGAUGCCACGAAUGCCAAAGUGCGGGGGAACUUCUAUUCGCUUACAUGGAACCCAGGGUGCACGGGUGUAGAUGCACUCACGCAAUUUUGGGCCCCGAGGGAGGACAACCCUAGGCCAUUGUUGUACAUCAACGCCCCGUUCUCUCAGGCAGGCAAGGUGCUGAACAAAGUGCGGAACGAGCGACUGGACUGCAUUGUCAUUCUCCC